GAUUGCACUCAAUAUGGUCAGAU
rnacentral:miRNA from 1 species